rnacentral:rRNA from 1 species
UACGUAGGGUGCGAGCGUUGUCCGGAAUUACUGGGCGUAAAGCGCUCGUAGGUGGUUUGUCGCGUUGUUCGUGAAAACCUGAGGCUUAACCUUGGGCGUGCGGGCGAUACGGGCAGACUGGAGUACUGCAGGGGAGACUGGAAUUCCUGGUGUAGCGGUGAAAUGCGUAGAUAUCUGGAGGAACACCGGUGGCGAAGGCGGCAUCCUGGACCGGUAUUGACGCUGAUGCGCGAAAGCCAGGGGAGCAAACGGG